GCAUGGACGAAUUCUGUAUUACUCCUGAAAUAGUAAAUGCAGUCAGACACCAUGCUAAAUUAUUGUGUUCACACGCUGACUCAACAAGAGUGAGGAGUAUGUGCCUCAUUCUUAUGUCGGAAUUGAAUACAGAA
ensembl:snoRNA